AAAAUGCGAUACUUGGUGUGAAUUGCAGAAUCCCGUGAACCAUCGAGUUUUUGAACGCAAGUUGCGCCCGAAGCCAUCCGGCUGAGGGCACGCCUGCCUGGGCGUCACGCAUCGCGUCGCUCCCCACUAUACCUCCCCAACGGGUUGGCAUGGUGUUGGGGGCGGAUAAUGGCCUCCCGUGCUUGUGUUUCGGUUGGCCUAAAUAAGAGUUCCCUUCGGCGGACACACGACUAGUGGUGGUUGAAUAGACCCUCGUCUUUUGUUGCGUGUCGUGAGCUGUAAGGGUAGCCCUCAUCAAAGACCCCAUUGUAUCGUCUUCGGAUGAUGCUUCGACCGCGACCCCAGGUCAGGCGGGACUACCCGCUGAGUUUAAGC
rnacentral:misc_RNA from 1 species